ensembl:lncRNA
GCUCUUUCCUGCAUCCCACACAAAAGACCAACAGACGCCUUCGAGAAAUAUGUGUGUGUGUGUGUGUCCAGAUGCCAUGCAUGGGAUCAGUGAAUUCUCCAUCCAGAUGAUCCAUAUAGCAACCUGUCAUGGUAGCAGUGUACAGCAUGUUUAGAGGUAAACACAGCAUACAUGAAACCUAUGGCUAAAACAGAAUAGCUAGCUAUCCAAGACAUCUGUUAUGAUGCAAUAGGUCUCAGUUAAGAACACAUGAACCCACUGCACUCAAAUGUAAUGUUUUCAUUAAGUAGGAAGUAUGAAAAAUGCUUACAAACUAUGAAGUAUGUUUACUAAGUAUGAAGUUUGCUUACUAAAUAUGAAGUAUGAUCACGAAGUAGAAAGUACGCUUACUUGAAGUAUGCUUAUUGAAGAUUUUACUGUAUGUGUGCUGUAUUUUGCUCUAUUUACAGUAUGUUGUAUUUAGCUUUAUCUAUGUUUACUCAACAGAGUUGUAUCUAUGCUUUCAUGUACAAUGUGAGAUCUUUUGUACCAAACAGUCAGCAUCAACUGCCCCCACAAAUGGCCGCUGUAUUCUACUCAGGCAUUAACAGAGACGACUGCACAUUGAUGCUACUGUACAUGCGGAGUCAGCCAACAUUCCACACCCCAGCCAGGACCCGCCUGCUGCCCUUUUAUGGGUUGAAGCUGCAUGGUCGGGCAUCAUGGGUGCUGCAUUGUAUAUCAGAAAAAAACAUCUCUAGGUUAAUUUCUUAUGCUACUCAAAACCAAGAAAAAGUAGAAUGAUAGGAAGGUAGAUGGACUGGCUACUCAAAAGCUAGAAGUAUGUAAAAACAUAGGAUGAUUGAUGUAGGGAAGAACGAUACAGUACGAUAGAUUUGGGAAAGAGAGAAGGAUAGGAGGAUAGAUGGAGGCAAAGAGGACAAGAAAAUAGGUCAGGAGGAUAGAUGGAGGGAAGGAUAGGAGGAUAGAUGGAGGGAAGGUUAGGAGGAUAGAUGGAGGGAAGGAUAGGAGGAUAGAUGGAGGGAAGGAUAGGAGGAUAGAUGGAGGGAAGGUUAGGAGGAUAGAUGGAGGGAAGGAUAGGAGGAUAGAUGGAGGGAAGGAUAGGAGGAUAGAUGGAGGGAAGGAAGGUUAGGGAGAUAGAUGGAGGGAGGGAAGGUUAGGAGGAUAGAUGGAGGGACGAUCAAGAGGAUAGAUGGAGGGAAGGUUAGGAGGAUAGAUGGAGGGAAGGUUAGGAGGAUAGAUUGAGGGAAGGUUAGGAGGAUAUAUUGAGGGAAGGUUAGGAGGAUAGAUGGAGGGAGGGAAGGUUAGGAGGAUAGAUGGAGGGAAAGUUAGGAGGAUAGAUGGAGGGACGAUCAAGAGGAUAGAUGGAGGGGAGGUUAGGAGGAUAGAUGGAGGGAGGGAAGGUUAGGAGGAUAGAUGGAGGGAAGGUUAGGAGGAUAGAUGGAGGGAGGGAAGGUUAGGAGGAUAGAUGGAGGGAUGAUCAAGAGGAUAGAUGGAGGGAAGGUUAGGAGGAUAGAUGGAGGGAAGGUCAGGAGGAUAGAUGAGGGAUGGUUAGGAGGAUAGAUUGAGGGAAGGUUAGGAGGAUAGAUUGAGGGAAGGUUAGGAGGAUAGAUGGAGGGACGAUCAAGAGGAUAGAUGGAGGGAAGGUUAGGAGGAUAGAUGGAGGGAAGGUCAAGAGGAUAGAUGGAGGGAAGGUCAAGUGGAUAGAUGGAGGGAAGUUUAAGAGGAUAGAAUGAUGGAUGAAAGGGAAAGAAGGAGGGAGGGAGAACAAGGUAAGGACAGACAACAAACAGCAUGACAAAAACAGCCUCCUGACAUGCUAGUAAAAGGAGAAGUGUGGCUUUGUUCCAGACUGUUGUGUGUGUGUGUGUUCUCUGGAGCAGAGCCCAGUGUUCUGACAUGUGUUUCUGUUUAUUAAUGAGUCUGGAGGCGCUGCCAAUGAAUGAUGAGUUUCCUUUCUCUCUCCCUCUGUUCUCCUUUUCUCUGUCCUCUCUUUCUCUGUCUCUCUCUCUCUCUUUGACCUCUUUCUCUCUCUCUGUGUCACACACACCCACAUGCACACACACACAUGCACACACAAUCUUGUACAGCUAACCUUGUGGGGAUACACAAUUCAGUUCCAUUCAAAGUUCUAUUUUCCCUAAUCCCUAAAUGAAACCCUAACCCUAACCUUAACCCAAAAACCGAACCUUAACUCUAACCCUAAAACUAACCUCAGCUCCUAACCGUAAGCCUUAACGUAAUUCUAACCCUAACACUAAUUCUAACCUUAAUCAUAAACCCCUUAGAAAUAGCAUUUGAACUUGUGGGGACAAACAAAAUAUCCACAGUUGGUCACAUUUUUGUUGUUUACAAUUCUUGUGGGGACUUCUGUUAAACACGUCCACACCCACACACACACUACAUCCCAGCGCCUGACCCUCAGCACGCCAUAAAUCUGACUUCAAGGGCGGUGUCGGCGUUGGCGAGAACAGGAUAUGAGAGCGUGGCCCUCUCAAAAUCUUCCCCUCCAGAUGAGAACAAAAUGUAGAGAAUGUUCCAGAUGCCGCGGCCGCUACAGUCUAGGAACAUGUGGAGCCAAGAGCUGGAAAACGAGCAGCCCUUCCUAUCUUUUCCCCCUUCUUUCCAUGCAUUUUCUCUCUGUUGUCUAACUUAUCCGUCUCUGUUUUUGGGCUGUUGGUAGGCUAGCUUUUUGUUUCGUACUGUUAUCUCUUUGAUAGUGUCUCCUUAUCUUGUUAUCUUGUCACUCUCCUCUUCCUUCCACUUCUGUCUAGCAUCUUAAAACACACACACACACACACAUUGAGGUAGAGACAAACACACACACACACACACACACAAACACACACACACACACACACAUUGAGGUAAACACACACACACACAUUGAGACAAACACACACACACACACAAACACACACACACACACACACAUUGAGGUAGAGACAAACAUACACACACACACACACACACAUUGAGGUAGAGACAAACACACACACACACACACACACACAUUGAGGUAGAGACAAACAAACACACACACACACACACACACACACAUUGAGGUAGAGACAAACACACACACACACACACACACAUUGAGGUAGAGACAAACACACACACACACACACACAUUGAGGUAGAGACAAACACACACACACACAAACAUACAUAUGUACAAACACACAAAGACAGAGUGACACACACACACACACACACAUUGAGGUAGAGACAAACACACACACACACACAUACAUAUGUACAAACACACAAAGACAGAGUGACACACACACACACAUCCCUCAGACAGGAUUAUCCCACUCUCACAAGUUGAUCCUCUCUGGCAAGCACUGCCAGUCCCCUCUGAGCAUGGAACAGAAGCACUACUGUCAGGGCAGAGCUGUGACCUAGAGAGUAGUAUGUCUGUGUGUGUGUGUGGGUCUCUGUUUGUGUGUGUGUAUCCCUCUGUGUGUUUGUGUGUGUGUGUCUCCCGUUGUUUGUUUGGGUGUGUCAGGUCACAGGCCAAGGUCUCCAACCUGAUCCGCUCUGAGGCAAUCGGCCUGCGAGUGCAUUAAGAGAUUGCGGGGGGGACGCCGAGCCGAGGCUCACUGGCUCGACUUAAAGACAUACACAUAAUCCUGGCUGCUCUGCUGUGGUCUGCUCCACCUGACAAGGAUAAGUGUGGCAGGUGUGUCUGUCAGGGACUGUGUGUGUGUGUGUGUGUGUGUGUGUGUGUGUGUGUGUGUGUUUGUGCGUAUCCUCUCUGAGCUGUACCCCACCUACGCCCUCUCAGGCGUGCCCCUGUCCUUGGACACCCUUACCCGCCCUAGAGUCACUUCAUCUGCCAACUGGAUAAAGAGAGAGAGAGAUAAGGAGGGGUACACAGAGAGAGGGAGAGCGAGACAGAGAGCGAGACAGAGGUAGUCAGACAGACGGAGGGAGAGAGGGAACCAGCCAGUAGAGAGACGUGACAGGACAGAGGUUACCCCACACCCUGAUGUCAUCCUUCCCAGCCUGACCACACAAAGCAUGGUCAGUUAGCUAUAGUCACAAAGCACACCAACACUUAACCAUGCAUUUAAACUAUGGACGCUUGAGAUCUGCAAGUGUACGGUAUGUGUUUAUAAGGUAUGCUACAUAAUUCCACUGUAUGUCACUUGGACUGUGUUCAUUUUGAUAAUAAAUGGAAUUGCACAGAGAGAA